GGCUCAAUGAUUGUUGCCAAUCACAUUUGGUCAUAUAUGCUAUUCUGAUUUCUAUUGGUGAACGAAUUUAUGAGAGCU
rnacentral:snoRNA from 1 species